GUAGGGAAUUUUGCGCAAUGGGCGAAAGCCUGACGCAGCAACGCCGCGUGAUUGAUGAAGCCCUUCGGGGUGUAAAGAUCUGUCAGUGGGGACGAACAAUGACGGUACCCACAGAGGAAGCACCGGCUAACUCCGUGCCAGCAGCCGCGGUAAUACGGGGGGUGCAAGCGUUGUCCGGAAUCAUUGGGCGUAAAGAGUUCGUAGGUGGUAUGUUAAGUCUGGUGUUAAAUGCUGAAGCUCAACUUCAGUUCGGCACUGGAUACUGGCAAACUGGAAUGCGGUAGAGGUAAAGGGAAUUCCUGGUGUAGCGGUGAAAUGCGUAGAUAUCAGGAGGAACAUCGGUGGCGUAAGCGCUUUACUGGGCCGUAAUUGACACUGAGGAACGAAAGCCGGGGUAGCAAAUGGG
rnacentral:rRNA from 1 species